GUGAACGCUGGCGGUAGGCCUAACACAUGCAAGUCGAACGGCAGCACAGUAAGAGCUUGCUCUUACGGGUGGCGAGUGGCGGACGAGUGAGGAAUACAUCGGAAUCUACUUUUUCGUGGGGGAUAACGUAGGGAAACUUACGCUAAUACCGCAUACGACCUACGGGUGGAAGCAGGGGAUCUUCGGACCUUGCGCGAUUGAAUGAGCCGAUGUCGGAUUAGCUAGUUGGCGGGGUAAAGGCCCACCAAGGCGACGAUCCGUAGCUGGUCUGAGAGGAUGAUCAGCCACACUGGAACUGAGACACGGUCCAGACUCCUACGGGAGGCAGCAGUGGGGAAUAUUGGAUAAUGGGCGCAAGCCUGAUCCAGCCAUACCGCGUGGGUGAAGAAGGCCUUCGGGUUGUAAAGCCCUUUUGUUGGGAAAGAAAAGCAGCAGGUUAAUACCCCGCUGUUCUGACGGUACCCAAAGAAUAAGCACCGGCUAACUUCGUG
rnacentral:rRNA from 1 species